AACGUAGGAGACAAACGUUAUCCGGAGUUACUGGGCGUAAAGGGCGUGUAGGCGGUCUGUUAAGUCUGGCGUGAAAGCUCUCGGCUAAACCGGGAGAGGUCGUUGGAUACUGGCAGACUAGAGGACGGUAGAGGCGUGUGGAAUUCCGGGUGUAGUGGUGAAUACGUAGAGAUCCGGAGGAACACCAGUGGCGAAGGCGGCUUUCUGGUCCGAUACUGACGCUGAGGUGCGAAAGCGUGGGGAGCGAUCCGG
rnacentral:rRNA from 1 species